UAGGGGCCUGACGCACAUUCCAGGUCGACUCCCACAGCUGCACAGCACCUAGCGUUGCCUGAGGAAGCCUAAGACUACGACUAAGCAGCCCGAGACGCUAGCGGUAGCCGCCCCCCUCACAACUAGGUCGCACCAAGCCUGUGCUUAGCUGGCUCCUUGCCCGAACAUUCGUGGCCAACUCUGACUCCACAGCCUGGUUGCAUCAAGGCACCAGGGCUCGUUUGGCGUGUGCUGUGUCUUGCGGUCACAACCCGUGGCUGACUGCAGCAUACUUGUAACGGUUGAGUGCAAAUUCCCCUUCGCGGGUUGCCCCUUCCCCUUCCCCUGCGACCGACGCGUGCGGACCGGACUGGACCUAAGCCCUUCGCCAUAGUGCGCGGCCUCUAGUGUGUCAGGCUUCCCCCGUCACCCCGGCGCCUACAGUCUCCCUUCUCUGGUCUCCCUUCGAGAUUGCAACAUCCUACUGUGAUCCAGCCUCUGCCUCCCUUCUCCCUCCACCGGUUUCCCUUCGAGAUUGCGACCGACUACCGCUCCCGGCUCCUGCUUUCUUCUGCCAGCCAUCUGGUCUGCAUACGGUAUCCUCCAGCCUUGGGUGCAAGCAGCUCGCAUCUGUUGUACCGACUUGCCUGCCUGUGCCUGCAGUCUGUAGCACUCGCAUAGGAUUGCUUGCUUGUAAGCGCACAAACCUGUUGUACAGACUUGCUUGCCUGGGAGCUUAGCUUGCUCAGCUCAGCCGGGUUGCGCAUCAGCAGCGCGUACGACUCCAGCGGGUACUCAGCCUUAUAGGGUAGUCUCGCUCCUCUCUCCUAUCCAAAACCUCUGGCGUUCUACACGCCCUAACAACUAUGCCCAGGCUCCACCUGAGGCUACGGCUUCUAUCCCCUCUUUCUCUCGUGCAGGUCCGGCCAGCCGGUCGCCAAGUCUCUCUCCCUUCUCUCUCUCCCUAUCCCUUUCCUUUACAGGUUCCCCAGCUCUCCUUGUACAUACGACUGAAUCAUCUCUCGACCACACCUCUGGUAUCUCCGACUAUUGCAGUGAUCGCCGCAGGCGCAUCUUGAUCACCCCGCAAGUGCCCAGGACAGCGGCUGGUAUACAGGGUCGGGCGUGGCGGCCGUCCAGCCUCUCCACGCUCCGUGCUCAUACCCUGGGAAGGUCAAAGCGGUGCAGGCCUGUCGUCAUACAGCUGCAUCGUGGCCAGUGCCUCAGUGACAGCCCGCGUUACAGCGCAAAAGUUUUUAUAGUUCCCGGUUUUUUUACGGGUGCUGCGCUUUUAGUGGGGGGAGUUGCGGGAAAUUGUCCUGAGCUCCUCUGCGUCCCCUUACCGUCAUUCCCAGCUUUCCUGGCUACGCCCGGAUUUAUCCGUCUACUGCGACAGCUAAAAUGGUUGACUCCGACGCCGAAUCUUCUUCAUCUGCGUCAAGCCGGCGUUCGAGCCGUUCUACCCAACUCAGGAAGGGCAUUUCGCCCUCUGCUCUUAAUGCUGUUCCCACGUUCAACCCCUCCUCUGAUGACCCGACUGAUUGGAUCGAUUCUAUUGAAAGGGUUGGACAGGUGUUUGGUUGGGACGAUCCCACCAAACUAGCCGUUGCCCGCUGCCGCCUGCUACACUCCGCCAGGGUUUGGGACUCUGCUGGUAAGGACAUCGAUUCCUGGCCGAAGUUCAGUCAAGCCUUCCUCGACCGUUUUGCCCUACGAGAAACAGAAAUCUAUGGCCAACUGGCAUCCUGCCGCCAGGGCCUACGCGAGUCAGUACGUGAUUAUUCCGACCGUUUCCGCCAUCUUCUGGCCCGUCUUGAUAUCAGGCCUGGCCGCGAUUACAUGUACCACUACCUGCGUGGGCUUCACCCCCGCACCUAUCGCAAGGUUCACCUCUUGCGCCCUCAAACUCUGGAAGAUGCGAUUGACGGCGCCAUCUACGUCAGCGAAGUUGAAGAUUGGGACGACGCCAGCACAGGGCGCAGCGCCCCGGCACCUCCCGAACGCAGGGCAGCGCUCGUAUCUUCCUUCGUUCGGAACGAAAUUUGCCCAAAAAGGCCUCUGGCGGACGAAAUGUUUUUGAUCUUGACUUGGAAUCUCGGCCAAAACGCACGGGAUCUUGGGGGGUCUUUCGGCAAACAGACGAAGACAUUUUUGGGAUUUCGGCCACUUUUGGCCAAGGACAGGGGGUUCCAGCGGCUACUCCACGGCCGAAAACUGCGUCGCAUAUGGUAAGAAGGCUCAAAGGGCUGUAUCUAUGGGUGUUGACGGCGGGAGACAGGGGUUCCCCUGGCGGGAGAGUGAGGUUGGGUCGGCGGGAAGCAGGGGAGGAGUGGGCGUGUCGUGUCGGUGUCGACAUCGUGCGGGUCGGGGGCGGAGCCCCCGGAAUAAUUUGGGGGGUGAACGAAGCGGCGGCAGCCUGUUUCGUCAACUAAACGAAGCCAUUUUAAGGAAUUCGGCCACUGACGCCGCCCCUGCCUUCGUAAGAUACGAGCGCUGACGCAGGGUGCGGUUUAAUGAACAACCGCCAAACACCCGCAGCCUACCCUCUCCGGCACCCCCCACGCCUCCUGAGACUCGCCAUGACCGCCACCGUCCACUUUCCUCCUCCCUCUCCCGCCGUGAUGACAGCGUCGUACGCCCCCGUGAUGAGAAGUACUCCUCCCGCGACAGAACCCGUGAAGACCGACUAGACCGGUAUACUGACCGUUCGCGCACGCCGCCGCGGUCCGCCUCUCCCCCAGCCCCAGCUCCUGACUCCUUUGAGCGUGAGCUGGAGGCUCUGCAGUCUAAGCUCGCCAAGAUGACGUUGGCCUACCGUCACGGCCAUGAUUUGUCCACCAAUAUGUAUGAACGUGAGGAGGAGGCUGCUGUGCCUGCAUACCUCUCCCACCGCUACGCUAGUGACUCCGACUCCAGGACCGAAGAUGGCAGGGAGUCAGAGCUGUACUCCAAUGAACACGCCGUCUUCACCACCAAGCGUAUCAGCGAUCCCGAACCCGUACGCUUGCCCAACAGGCGUGCGCCCGCAGACCCCGACGCCCAACCUAUGGAGAUCAACAACCGGCCGCCGCCACGCCGCGUCAGUACUACCCGUGCCCCGUCCAAGGCCCCUGCCGACACGCCAGCCCCCUCAACUCACCGUGCCGCGGACCCUGGGGUGCCCAUAGAUACCUCUCCCGGUUCUGCCGUCAGCAGGCCAGCCAUGCCUUCCCCCGCGCAUAAUGAAUGCAGUAACAGGGGCGACACGAUUUCCGCUGGCCAUCGUGGCGUUGGCCGCGCAACCCGUCGUCCUGGUGGUGGGACUACCCGUGCCAAAAACACCCCGGAAACACCGUCUUCAACUCCUCCUCAGCAGCGACUGCCACCUGCGGCGGUCCCUCUCAACCCGGCUACGGCCGAGCCAAGCCCGCCGCCAGUCUCUUGCACCACCUUCUUGGCCUCUCGUUCUCAAGACUUAACUGCUUCGGACCCUAUGCCCGUCCCGGAUGCGCACACCGCACGGUGGGAUUCUCUGCCUCUCUACAACCUGGACAGCCGUCUCCCCAUGUUUUCAGUGUGCCGGGCUACGGUCACACUAACCAACGCCCGUGGAGAGAAAGAGAGCAUUAGGGCAGUGGUUGACACUGGCGCCUCUUACAGUGUGGUGCCUAUGCAUAUCGUGCGCCGCCUGAACCUGCUGCCUUACGUCGCUGAAUCACGCGCCAUGUUCCUGAAUGCCGAUGGUGUCAAGAAGAAGGCAACUGGUCAAAUACGUGGCAUGCAGGUGGGGCUGGGCCAAGAUCUGAUGUACACCAUGGACAUGUACGUGUCCCAAGCCCAAAACUACGAGUUACUGCUGGGAAUGGACUUCCUGUACCCCAUCAAGGCUUCCGUGGAUUUCGGCGGCGGCCAGCGGCUGCUGUACACCAACGACUACAACCAACGCAGUCACGGGCCCAUUACUUGUGUGGUCGUCGAGGAGCCUCCUUCCCUCAAGACCUCCCUGCCCGGGCUGCAAGGAAUGCCAUCUAUCGGAUACAAUUCUGGGACCUACGGCCACGAACAGGAUGCAAUCCCCGCCCUGCAAUCCGUCAGCCAUGUGGGCCACCUGAAAGAGAAGGCAGGUAAGGCGCUGUAUACCCUCAAGAGCGCCGCUGUGGAGGCUGCCUCUACUGCCUCGUCCGGCAUGAAACAGCUACUCCAACACCUGCCGCGUACCGCUGAGGUGCGCUCUUGGUUGUUUACCACCUGGGAAAACGGGUUGACAAAAUGGACAGCCAAGGAGUACGGCACCGUGUCAAACCAGAUUACACACGACGCCGCCGUCGUAGCAAGCACCCCUAAAACGCCCCUUUCUUCCGACAGCCCUUCAAACAAGACUGCUACCGUUAAGAACCUGCCUCCCCUCGGGACGCCGCCCUUGGCGCCCGUGCGCAUCCCGCGCGCUAACCUUUCUGCCGGGCCAAGCCCUGGCUCACCUCCAACUUCUCCUGGCCUCCUCUGCGAGUCACCCGCACACUUCUCCUGCGACAUCUCUACCAACGAGGCGACGACUACAGAAUUUCCAGACAACCCGAGCGUGUCCCCCGACGGCGCGCCUGAGCCCCCGCCGACUGCCGACGAAAGUGCAGCGGCUGAGGCCUUCAUUGCCUUGGCCCAUCAGGCUGGCGCGUUCCUGCCACCUGAAGCUUCCAACGGCGCACGUUCCCCUCCUCCUUCUCGCUCCGCCUCUGCGUCUCUGAACGUGUUGGAAGGCGUUAAAGCCACAUGUCAUCAACGUGUGGGAGACGAGCUACCUGAGCUCUCGGACGGCGCCGCACCCACCACCGCCGCUCCUCCGCCGUCUUCCCGCGCUCCAAGCAAGAUGUCCCCAACCGAGCAGGAGCACAUUCGUGCAGCCGCCUUACCGCCGGUGCGUGCAAGCCCACUUAUGACCUGCGAUCAGCUGGCCCCUGCAGCAUCCCAGCAGGAGCCAGGAGUUGUGCCCCUCUUCCUUAGCGACGGGCACACUGAUGCCCGCCGUAUGGAUUUUAUCUCAGACUCCCCAGCUCGGCCUCCUCUUCCACCGCCCCAGCAGGCUGCCAACACGCCCAAGGAAGCUACGUCGUCUGAGAAAUUUACACCCGAACCGGAAUCAGCGCCUGAACCUGAGCCUGGCCCUGAACCUGAUGAGCCUCAACCCGAACCCCGCACCCUGCCACGACGCGUAAAGGUGCGCUCUGAGGCUGCACAGCACCCUCAGUCUGCCGCGGCGGCGGCCCUUGCCACCGCUGCCGCCACUCCACCUCCAGCACCCCAGCCAACCGUAACGGAAGCCCCUACAAGGCCUGUGUCGGUGUUGCCGCCGCGCCGCGUCAAUGCUUCCCAACUACCCCGUACAGAUUUGUCAACGCCGUCCGUCAGCCAAGAGAUUGCGACCGAAGUGCCCAACGCUGACCCGACCUUGUUCCCUAGUGGAGACGGACGUGAUCCAAGCCAAGCUUCCGUACACCCCAAGCCGGCUCUCGAGGAGUCGCCCGCCAUGCGCACCCAUAUGCCCAACAUGUUUGAUUUCGAGGUGAGACCCCCUGACGCUGACUGCUGUGACAGCGAACCUAUGGAAGGCCUACAGUGUGACAUCUGCGGCAAAGGAGAGCCGCCCCCAAACAACCUGCUUAUCUGCGACAGACCUGCUAAACGCCCUGCCCAUGGCUGUGACCCGUACUGCCUGUGGCCGCGGGUACUUAACGUACCAUAUGGCUCUUGGUAUUGUCCCCAACACCUGAUGGAAACGGCCAACCUCUCUGGAGGGCGUGGUGCGGACAAGGGCCCGGUACCGGCCUUACCCGGUCGUGCGUCGAGCAUAGGCCCGGUACGGGCCGCCGCCACGGCGGAAGCUGUUGCGGCCGCUGCGGCUGCCGCUGCAACUCCGCAAAACAACGGCGCUGUCAUCCCGACCGCCACCACCGUCACCAAGACUCAAGGGCGCCUGCGCGCCACCGCACAUGGAAUGGAGAAGCCCAAGGAUAAACAGUUACGCGAUCUGCCCCCCGCUACCAAAAUGUCCGUCCAACGGCCCCUACGUGUACAGAAGCUGGCAACUGCCACUGUACCUCCUAUCGUCCUGCAUCGACCCAAAACGGACCGCAACCGAAGGCCCUCCCACCAGUUUCCCCUACCAAGGUAUCUUAUUUUACUGCUGGCGCACGAGCCCAAUCAAAUGGAGGGGCCUGCGUCUCCUACAGCCGCUAGGCAACGGUGGUCAACAAUCGCCUGCUGCACGGCUCAAGAUCAUUUCAACGCGGUUUAUGUAGUGCAAGCCGACCUGCCGCCGCAAGCAAGCAGAAAUGCCUGGGUCAGCACGCUACUGGGUCAUGCAAGGGACGCAUGACUGAAGGCCCGGUAGCGACAGCUGUGGCGACAACAGAUGUACUUCGUAAAUCCGCGGCUGACCCAUCUUUGCUACUGCAGAGGAAAGAGUAGAAAGUGCCGCACUGCAACAGGUUCCUGCUUUCCCCAAUCCCUGCCAGUGCGUGCGUGUGUGUGUGUCCCAUGCCCCUCGGGUAGCCCAGGUUCGCCAACACCGCCCCUUCCACCAAGGGCCCACGGUCCAGCAAGGAUCCCGUCUUGAACAUGGCGAGCCCAAGCCACUACGUAUAGCUUCCAGCGGCGCCGAGACGUGAGUCGCGGCGCUGCUCGUCCAAGUUCCACCGACCAAGACCAAUCAAGAUCCAAGGCCAUUGUGGAUCAGCAAAAAUAUGAUAAAUAGUUGAGCGAGAUGAUGAGCAUAGCAGCGGCAUUAGGCCGCGUCGAGUUGGUUGAUCUAGUAGUUCGCGAUCGAAGUUUCCGGACUUGCUCGAUGUUUCUAGUGGCGCCCCGGGCUAGCCUAGAAUGUUCGAAGAAGUUGUUUAGCACACCCACCAUCGAGCGACGUUUUGGGUAGUUGACGAGGUCGGUUGAAGGUGUGGCACGCCCGCCACCGGAAGUAGUUACCUAGCGAUAUAUAGGGGCCUGACGCACAUUCCAGGUCGACUCCCACAGCUGCACAGCACCUAGCGUUGCCUGAGGAAGCCUAAGACUACGACCAAGCAGCCAGAGACGCUAGCGGUAGCCGCCCCGCUCACAACUAGGUCGCACCAAGCCUGUGCUUAGCUGGCUCCUUGCCUGAACAUUCGUGGCCAACUCUGACUCCACAGCCUGGUUGCAUCAAGGCACCAGGGCUCGUUUGGCGUGUGCUGUGUCUUGCGGUCACAACCCGUGGCUGACGGCAGCAUACUUGUAACGGUUGAGUGCAAAUUCCCCUUCGCGGGCUGCCCCUUCCCCUUCCCCUGCGACCGACGCGUGCGGACCGGACUGGACCUAAGCCCUUCG
rnacentral:lncRNA from 1 species